rnacentral:rRNA from 1 species
AGGGUUUUAGCCCACUGGAAUUGGACCGGUCCAGUUCUUACGGAGGCAGCAUGGGGAAUUUUCCAAAUGGGGGAACCCUGAUGCAGCCAUGCCGCGUGGUGAAGAAGCCUUUGGGUUGUAAAGCAUUUUCAGUAGGAAGGAAGGUAGUGUAGUUAACACCUGCACUAUUUGACGUUACUUACAGAAGAAGCACCGGCUAAUUCCGUGCCAGCAGCCGCGGUAAUACGGAGGGUGCGAGCGUUAAUCGGAAUUACUGGGCGUAAAGCGCAUGCAGGCGGCCUGUUAAGUCAGAUGUGAAAGCCCGGGGCUUAACCUCGGAAUUGCAUUUGAAACUGGCAGGCUAGAGUCUUGUAGAGGGGGGUAGAAUUUCAGGUGUAGCGGUGAGAUGCGUAGAGAUCUGAAGGAAUACCAGUGGCGAAGGCGGCCCCCUGGACAAAGACUGACGCUCAGAUGCGAAAGCGUGGGGAGCAAACAGGAUUAGAUACCCUGGUAGUCCACGCCGUAAACGAUGUCUACUUGGAGGUUGUGGCCUUGAGCCGUGGCUUUCGGAGCUAACGCGUUAAGUAGACCGCCUGGGGAGUACGGUCGCAAGAUUAAAACUCAAAUGAAUUGACGGGGGCCCGCACAAGCGGUGGAGCAUGUGGUUUAAUUCGAUGCAACGCGAAGAACCUUAUCUACUCUUGACAUCCAGAGAAGCUUGAAGAGAUUCGAGUGUGCCUUCGGGAACUCUGAGACAGGUGCUGCAUGGCUGUCGUCAGCUCGUGUUGUGAAAUGUUGGGUUAAGUCCCGCAACGAGCGCAACCCUUAUCCUUGUUUGCCAGCACUUCGGGUGGGAACUCCAGGGAGACUGCCGGUGAUAAACCGGAGGAAGGUGGGGACGACGUCAAGUCAUCAUGGCCCUUACGAGUAGGGCUACGCACGUGCUACAAUGGCAUAUACAGAGGGCAGCAAGACCGCGAGGUGGAGCGAAUCCCAGAAAGUAUGUCGUAGUCCGGAUCGGAGUCUGCAACUCGACUCCGUGAAGUCGGAAUCGCUAGUAAUCGUGGAUCAGAAUGCCACGGUGAAUACGUUCCCGGGCCUUGUACACACCGCCCGUCACACCAUGGGAGUGGGCUGCACCAGAAGUAGAUAGCUUAACCUUCGGGAGGGCGUUUACCACGGUGUGGUUCAUGACUGGGGUGAAGUCGUAACAAGGUAACCG